UACGUAGGGGGCAAGCGUUGUCCGGAUUUAUUGGGCGUAAAGGGUGCGUAGGCGGCUUUGCAAGUCUGAUGUGAAAUCUCCAGGCCCAACCUGGAAAUGGCAUUAGAAACUGUGAGGCUGGAGGCUUGGAGGGGGAACUGGAAUGCUCGGUGUAGCAGUGAAAUGCGUAGAGAUCGAGCGGAACACCAGUGGCGAAGGCGAGUUCCUGGACAAGACCUGACGCUGAGGCACGAAAGCCAGGGGAGCAAACAGGAUUAGAAACCCCAGUAGU
rnacentral:rRNA from 1 species